UACAGAGGUCUCAAGCGUUGUUCGGAUUCAUUGGGCGUAAAGGGUGCGUAGGUGGCCAGGUAAGUUCGGUGUGAAAGCUCGGAGCUCAACUCCGAAAUGUCAUUGAAUACUAUCUGGCUGGAGGGUCGGAGGGGAGACUGGAAUUCUCGGUGUAGCAGUGAAAUGCGUAGAUAUCGAGAGGAACACCAGUGGCGAAGGCGAGUCUCUGGACGACUCCUGACACUGAGGCACGAAAGCUAGGGGAGCAAACAGG
rnacentral:rRNA from 1 species